rnacentral:lncRNA from 1 species
AUGGCUUUGUCUCUGAGCAGCAGCAUCAGCAGCAGUGUUCAUGUCACCAAUAAUUUGGCUCAUGCUUCUCCUUCUCCUGCAUGCUGCUGCCCUUGCAGGUCUUUUUUUAGAUUUGGAAGUGAAGAGCUAUCUACUCCUACUACUACUACAAGCUUGGAGUUGGAGCUACUGGGCCUCGACGCUAUCAGCUGCUGCUUCGUCGCCGGCGGCGGCGGUGCAGAGGCGGCGGCGCCGUUCUUUGGUUUUGGGUUCGGGGAUGUGGACGGCGAGUUCUUGGUCGCCUCGCCGGUGGCUGCUGUUGGCGACGAGCUGGCGUGCGCCGUGCCUCUGCGGCGGCCGCAGGGGAGCGUGUCGGAGGAGGAGGUGAAUGCCGCCGCGGUCGCCGCUGCCGCGGCCGGUGGCGCGGAGAGCUGCAGCACCGUGCACUCGGUGCUGGGUUCGGUGGAGUUUGGGUGUGGAACGUUGUCGGGUGUCACCAUUGCUCAGGCGUCGAGGAUGGGAAGGCUCGCCGGAGAGGCGCCGUGCGGCGACGCCGGCGGCGGCGGCUGGAUCUAUGGAGGGUCCGGCAUUGCGCCGUUACAUGGUGCGUACUACCUGUCCGGGUUCUCCUCCGGCGCCGGCGCCGGGUUCUUGAGCCCUUUCGCCGCGAGCUCCGUGGCGGCGGCGGCGCCCGCGGCGAGCGAGCUGUCGCUGCGGCUCGGCGCCACCAAGUGUUCGUCCCCGAGCAGCAUGGCGAACGCGUCGUCGGAAGUGAGCUGCUCCGGCUUAACCCACGUGAGCAGCGGAGGCGGCCUCGGCUACCACCAGGCAGCAGCCGCCGGCGCCGGCGCCGCCCUGUUCCACCCCACUCACGGCGACGACGCCGCAGCCGCCGCCGCCGGCGAGCUAAGGCAAGCGUACCACUCGAGGGCGCCUCCGCAUUUCUCGCAGGUGGUGUCGCGGUCAGCGGUGCUCGCGCACGUCGCGCAGGAGCUGCUCAACGGCUUCGUCGCCUGCCUGCUGCAAGACGUCGCCGCGGACGCGGCCAGCGGCGUCGACGGCGGCGAGGCGAGCCAGGCGCUCUCGUCGGGCUUCUCGGCGAGGAUCACGACGGCGCCGACGGAGGAUGCCUCACCCGGGAGCGGCGGUGCGAGGUGGGCGGCGGAGGCGCAGCGUCUGAGGAAGCUACUCCAACUGGUGGACGAGAAGUGCAACCAAUGCGUCGAGGAGAUGCAGAGCACGGCGGCGAGGUUCAACAGCAUGGUGCGCUCCACUGGCGGCGGCGGCGGCGGGCUGACGGCGGCGUUCGCGGGGCGGGCGGUGGCGGCGGCGUACAGGAGGGUGAGGAGGCGGGUGAUGGGACAGCUGGUGGCGGCGGCGACGGCGAGGUCGUCGUCGUCGUCGGCGGCGGCGGCGCUGGAGGAGAAGGAGCGGAGCUGGGAGUCGUCGUUCAUCCAGAAGCACUGGGCGAUGCAGCAGCUCCGGCGAGGUGACCAGCAGUCGUGGCGGCCGCAGCGCGGCUUGCCGGAGAAGUCCGUCGCCGUGCUCAAGGCCUGGAUGUUCGAGAACUUCCUCCGCCCAAUGGACAUUAAUAACAUGAUACAAUCGCACAAACAUAUUGUAUCCAAAGGACAGCGAGAAGGACAUGCUGGCGGCGAGAAGCGGCCUGAGCAGGAGCCAGGUCUCAAACUGGUUCAUAAACGCCCGCGUCCGACUGUGGAAGCCGAUGAUCGAGGACAUGUACGAGGAGCUCAAGAAGACCUCCGGAGGAAGCGAUGGCGCAGCAGAGAUUGAGCAUCUUAGCAGCAAAGAUGUGCUCAGUUUAGAAAGUUAGCAAGUUUCAGAUGUACAAAAUCUGAGCUCUGCUUUGUGAGCUUCUGCAUUUGCAUUGCAUUUGCAGCUAAGGGCCAACUAGUCACGAGUGUCCACUACUGAUCAGGCCCUUAUCUAUGAAACCUUGAGGUUUUUCCUUGCAUGUAUAAAUUUAUGUAAGUUAAUUUCUGGUGCCUCAAAAUUGCAAUGGAUAGACAGUGUGUUGCCCUCUUCUGUCUCCUCAUUUUUUGACAGAUUGCAGAUUUUGCUACAGUUCUUGUUUACCACGGGACCAAGACUGAAUAGUUUCAUGCAGAUAGUUCCAGUCCAAAGGCAGGGAUCUGCCUCAUUUAUUUUAAGAAAAAAGAAAACAGUCCAUUUUGAGCU